rnacentral:tRNA from 1 species
GUAGACAUAGUUUAAACAAAACGUUAGAUUGUGAUUCUAAAAACGGAGGUUAGAGCCCUCUUGUCCACC